GUUGACAGACUGGAGCGCAGCGGAGACCUCGGCAUCUGCGGUGCUCGGGAUUGUGUCCCCUACGGUCUCUUACCGUGCCUCCCGAUGGCGGGAGCUGGAAUUUGGUCCCCAGACCCCUUGGGAAGACGCGCACACCCUGGCAAACCAUGUGUACACCCGCGGUAGAAGCAGGUGCGUGUUUUACAGUAGCUUAGCUGCGGAGUCCACCCAGCCCCUGGCAUCCGCAGCUCGGCUCGCUCAGGCUCUAGACCGAAGCUGCAGGCGAAGGAACGUGCUUGGUGAGGAUGGAAUCGGAAUGGGGAAGUUUUAAAUUAAAUAGUAAUUGUUGCUAACAUACAUGAAUUUAUUUUUUGUUUGUUUUGAGACAGGGUCUUGCUCUGUGGCCCAGCAGUGCGAUCCUAGCUCACUGCAGACUCGACCUCCCGGGCUGAAGCGAUCUUCUCACCUCAGCCUCCCGAGUAGCUGGGACCACAGGCGCACACCCAAUGCUUGGCUAAUUUUUAAAUUUUAAAACAGAGACAGGGUCUUGCUAUGUUGCCCAGGCUGGUCUGGAACUCCUGGCCUCAAGCAAUUCUCCUGCCUCGGCCUCCCAAAGUGCUGUGAUUACAGGCAUGCGCCACGGUUCCCAGCCAUUUCUACUUUUUCUUUGAGAAGGAGUUUUACUCUUGUUGCCCAGGCUGGAGUGCAAUGGCGCUAUCUCGGCUUGCCCAGGCUGGAGUGCAAUGGCGCUAUCUAGGCUCACCGCAACCUUCGCCUCCCAGGUUCAAGCGAUUCUCCUGCCUCAGCCUCCCAAGUAGCUGGGAUUACAGGCAUGAGCCACCAUGCCCGUCUAAUUUUGUAUUUUUAGUAGAGACGGGGUUUCUCCAUAUUAAGUCAGGCUGGUCUCGAACUCCCGACCUCAGGUGAUCCUCCCGCCUCAGCCUCCCAAAGUGCUGGGAUUACAGGCGUGAGCCACGGCGCCCGGCCCUGCCAUUUCUACUUAUUUACGUUGUUCCAAAUUAUCAAAGAUAGCAUCAACUUUCAAAUCCUAAUUUUUUUUUUCCUGGGAAACCUUCCUCCUUUAGCCUUCAGUCUCCUCUCUAAACUGGGUUGGGCCUCAGUUCUUCUCAUACCGGGUCUCCCCUUCCUGCUGUCCUGGGUUGUAUCUUCCGCUUCCUAGAUUUAAGGUCUUUAUUUUUCAGCCAAGAUGGGUCAUCCUCAUGGCUGGUGGCAUUGGACUGUAAAUACUAGUUGCCUUCAUCCCCACAUUUGGAAUAUACCUGCAAUCAUACAGGAUGCAGAAUACUGUUUGCUAAGCGUGGGGCUGGUUGCUGGAGAUAACAAGCAAGGCCUACCAGGUCCCUGCUGUCAUUCUGGCUCUGGAUCUACUUGCUUGGCUCCCCUGCCAGCCCUAGUAUAUCGAGCCUUCCUUUUUAUUCAAUAGUGUUUUUUAUUGCUGACUUUUCAGUCAAGAUUUCUUUGUGUUUUCUGGCCUACCCUUGCUGUUUUUCACCUGAAAUGCUUUUUGGCUUUUAGUGUGACUCCUGCUGAUCUCAUAUGCAUAUGUUAUUAAUUGAUUAAUUAUUAAUUGUUAAUAAUUAAAUAUUAUUAAUAUGCUUACAUUAUUACCUUGAGUUCUGGAACUGCCUCACUGCACUCCAUGUGGUGAAUACUGUAGAAAUUAUAUAAGGAAAAAUAUAUCCUUAGAAAUGAGUAUUUUUUAAAUUUUGAAAAUAUUUAAUUUAGGCCCAGCCCAGUUGCUCACACCUGUAAUCUCAGCACUUUGGGAGGCUGAGGUGGGCAGAUUGCUUUAGGCCAGAAGUUAGAAACCAGCAUGGGCAACAUGCUGAAACUCCAUCUCUACUAAAAAUACAAAAAUUGGCCAGGUCUGGUGGUGCACACCUGUAGUCCCAGCUACUCAGGAGGCUGAGGCACAAGAAUUCCUUGAACCCAGGAAGCAGAGGUUGCAGUGAGCAAGAUCAUGCCACUGCACUUCAACCUGCGUGACAGAGUGAGACCCCGUCUCAAAAAGAAAAAAAAAUUGGGCUGGGCACAGUGGCUUGUGCCUGUAAUCCCAACACUUUGGGAGGCCAAGGCGGGAGGAUCACCUGAGGUCAGGAGUUCGAGACCAGCCUGGCCAACAUGGCAAAACCCCGUCUGUACUAAAAAUACAAAAAUUAGCUGGGUGUGGAGUCGGACGCCUGUAGUCCCAGCUACUCAGGAGGCUGAGGCACAAGAAUGGCUUGAACUCAGGAGGCAGAGGUUGCAGUGAGCCAAGAUCACACCAUUGCACUCCAGCCUGUGUGACAGAGCAAGACUCCAUCUAAAAAAAAAAAAAACAAACAAAACAAAAAAUAUAUUGAUACACAAAAUUUUUACAUAUUUAUGGAGUUCAUGUGAUAUUUUGCUUUUCUUCAUACAUAGAAUGUACAAUAAUCAAGUCAGGAUAUUUAAGGUAUCAAUCACUUUGAGUAUUUAACAUUUCUAUGUGUUGGGAAAAUUUCAAGUCCUCUCUUCUAGCUAUGGAAAUUUACAGUACUUUGUUAACUACAGUCACCCUACUCUGCUAUUGAACAUUACAAGUUAUCCCUUCUUCCUAAGUGUAUGUUUGUACCCAUUACCCAACUUCUCUUCAUCCACCUCUCCCACCCACGUACACCCUUCCAAUCUCUGGUAUCAUUCUACUCUCUACCUCCAUGAGAUCAACUUUUCUAGCUCCCACAUGUAAGUGAGGACAUGUGAUAUUUGCCUUUCUGUGUCUGGCUUAUUCACUUAACAUAAUGACCUCCAGUUCCAUCCAUGCUGUAAACAUGAUUUCAUUUUUUAUGGCUUAAGUCCACUGUGUAUAUAUAUCAUAUUUUCUUUAUUCAUUUGUCCCCUGAUCAACACUUAGGUUGAUUCCAUAUCUUUGCUAUUGUAAACACGGCUCUACAGUAAACACGGAGAUGCAGGUUAUCUUUUUUAUAUACUGAUUUCUUUUCCUUUGGAUAAAUUCCAGGUAGUGGGAUUGCUGGAUCACAUGGUAGUUCUUUUUUUUUUUUUUUGAGACGGAGUUUUGCUUUUGUUGUCUAGGUUGGAGUGCAAUGCCCUGGUCUCGGCUCAUUGCAGCCUCUGCCUCCCAGGUUCAAGUGAUUUUCCUGCCUCAGCCUCACAAGUAGCUGGGAUUACAGGCACCCUCCAUCACACCCAGCUAAAUUUUGUAUUUUUAGUAGAGAAGGGGUUUUGCCAUGUUGGCUAGGCUAUUGUGAACUUCUGACCUCUGGUGAUCCACCCACCUCAGCCUCCCAAAAUGCUGGGAUUACAGGCGUGAGCCACUGCGCCCAGUCAAGAGUUGCCUUCUCUUAGCAUCCUUGCCAAUACCUGUCAUGUUUUGUCUUCUUAAUAACAGCCAUUCUAACUAAGGUACGAUAAUAUCUCAUUGUGUGCUUUUUUGUUUUUGAGUCAGUCUCGCUCUGCAGCCUAGGCUGGAGUGCAGUGGCGCAACCUCAGCUCACUGCAACCUCCCCCUCCUGGGUUCAACCGAUUCUCCUGCCUCAGCCUCCUGAGUAGCUGGGAUUACAUACGUGCACCACCAUGCCCAGCUAAUUUUUUUGUUUGUUUGAGAUGGAGUCUCGCUCUGUUGCCCAGGCUGGAGUGCAGUGGCGCGAUCUUGGCUCACUGCAAGCUCCGCUUCCCGGGCUAACGCCAUUCUCCCGCCUCAGCCUCUGGAGUAGCUGGCACUACAGGUGCCCGCCACCACGCCGGCUAAUUUUUUGUAUUUUUAGAAGAGAUGGGGUUUCAUUGUGUUAGCCAGGAUGAUCUCGAUCUCCUGACCUCAUGAUCCACCCACCUCGGCCUCCCAAAGUGCUGGGAUUACAGGCGUGAGCCACCGCGCCCAGCCACCCAGCUAAUUUUUGUAUUUUUAGUAGAGAUGGAGUUUCACCAUGUUGGGAAGGCUGAUCUCAAACUCCUGACCUCAGGUGAUCCGCCCACCUCGGCCUCCUAAGCUGCUGGGAUUAUAGGCGUGAGCCACCAGGCCGGCUUCAUUGUAGUUCUGAUUUGCAUUUCCCUGAUGAUUAGUGGUGUUGAGCAUUUUUUCAUGUACCUGUUGACCAUCUGCAUGUUUUAUUUUGAUUCUCCUUCUAUUAUGAUUAUUAUUAUUAAUUAUCAUUAUUAUUGAGACAGGUUCUCACUCUGUCACACAGGCUGGAGUGCAGUGGUAUGAUCACAGCUCACUGCAGCCUCAACCUCCCUGGGUUCAGGUGAUCCUCCCACCUCAGCCUUCAAGUCGUUGGAACUAGAAGUGUGCAACACCAUGCCUGGCUAAUUUUCGUUUUUGUAGAGAUGGGGUCUCUCCAUGAUACCCAGGCUGGUCUGGAACUCCUGGGCUCAAGUGAUCCUCCCACCUCAGCCUCCCAAAGUGCUAGGAUUACAGGUGUGGACCACCAUGCCCAGCCUAUUAUUGUCAUUUUGAAACAGAGUCUCACUCUGUCACCCAGGUUGGGGUGCAGUGGCAAGAUCAAAGCUCACUGCAGCCUGGAACUCUUGGGCUCAAGUGAUCUAUGCUCCCACUUCCACCUCCUGAGUAGCUAAGACUACAGGUGAGUGGCUAUUUGGAUUCUCCUUUUAAACAGAGUAGCAACUUGAACCAAAAAUACUUUUGUUUCUUCAGAUCCUAUGUUGUAAAUCACUUCUCUUUGAACUAAGUAUGCAGAAGACUUAAGAAGAUGAAGCUGAACAAUAAAAAUAUUAACUAAACAGAUUGAAAGAAACUUUUUUUUUUUUUUUUUUAGAUGGAGUCUCGCUCUGUCGCCAGGCUGGAGUGCAGUAGUGGGAUCUUGGCUCACUGCAACCUCCAACUCCCUGGUUCAAGCGAUUCUCUUGCCUCAGCCUCCUGAGUAGCUGGGAUUACAGGCACGCAUCACCACACCCAGUUUUUGUAUUUUUAGCAGAGACAGGGUUUCACCAUGUUGGCCAGGAUGCUCUUGAUCUCCUGACCUCGUGAUCCGCCUGCCUUGGCCUCCCAAAGUGCUGGAAUUACAGACAUGAGCCACUGCACACUGUACCCGGCCUGUGGUUUUUUUUUUUUUUUAAGACAGAGUCUCACUCUGUGGCCAAGGCUGGAGUGCAGUGGUACAAUCUCGGCUCACUGCAACCUCUGCCUCCCGAGUUCAAGCAAUUCUCGUGCCUCAGCCUCCCAAGUAGCUGAAAACAGCACAACCUGCUAAUUUUUGUAUUUUUAGUAGAGAUGGGGUUUUGCCAUGUUGGCCAGGCUGGUCUCAAACUCCUGGCUUCAAGUGAUCCACCGUCCUCGGCCUCCCAAAGUGCUGGGAUUACAGGUAUGAGCCAUAGCGCCAGGCCUGAAACAAACUUUCAAGUAAGACUAAAACUGUUCCGUGUAGCUGAUGAGUUGUUUUUCCUGCCACUCAUUAUAAAAAUACAAAAAUUGGCCGGGCACAGUGGCUAACACCUGUAAUCCUACCACUUUGGGAGGCUCAGAUAGACAGAUCACUUGAGCCCAUGAGUUCAAGACCAGCCUGGGCAAAACCCCAUCUGUACAAAAAAUACAAAAAUUAGCUGGGCAUAGUGGCAUAUGCCUGUAGUCCCAGUUACUCAAGAGGCUGAGAUGAGAACGAGAAACACCUGAGCCCAGGAGGUCGAGGCUGCAGUGAGCCGUGACUGUGCCACUGCAUUCCAGCCUAGGCUAUAGUGAGACCCUGUCUCAAGAAAUAACAAGAACAACAAAAUGCUCUUGCUUUCAAAUUAUUUUAUUGCCCAUCAAAUUGUAAAUGUUUCUUCAAGACUCUUGAUCAGAUAAUUAUGAGAAGUCACACAACAUACAGGAGAUGACUGGGCUUCAAUCGACUUUACUUGUCAAUAACAGAGUACAACUGAACUUUAAGUGGGAGCUGAAUUUCUUUCUUUCUUUUUUGAAACAGAGUUCCACUCUUGUUGCCCAGGCUGGAGUGCAAUGGCACGAUCUUGGCUCACUGCAACCUCCGCCUCCUGGGGUCAAACGAUUCUCCUGCCUCAGCCUCCCGAGUAGCUGUGAUUACAGGCAUGUGCCACCAUGCCUGGCUAAUUUUGUAUUUCUUUUUUUUUAGUAGAGACAGGGUUUCUCCAUGUUCGUCAGGCUGGUCUCAAACUCCUGACCUCAGGUGAUCUGCCCACCUUGGCCUACCAAAGUGCUGGGAUUACAGGUGUGAGCCACUGCGCCUGGCUCUUUUUUUUUUUUAAUAGUGUCUUGCUGUUACUCAGACUGAAGUGGCGCCAUCAUAGCUCACUAUAGCCUCAAACUCCUGGGCUCAAGCUAUCCUCCUUCUUCACCCUCCCCCACCAUGCUCGGCUAAUUUUUAAAAUUUUUAGUAGAAAUGAGGUCUUGCUGUUUUCCAGGCUCGUCUCAAACUCCCAAUCUCAUGCAAUCCUCCUGCCUCAGCCUCCCAAAGUGCUGGGAUUACAGGUGUGAGCCACUGUACCCAGCUGAGAGCUUAAGUUUCUUGCAUAAAACUCAGCUGUAUGCUGAAGUGUUUAGAAGUGAAAUGUAAUGAUGUCUGCAACUUACUUUGAAAUACAUUAAUAAAAUGGAUAAAUGAAUGGAUAGAGGGAUGGAUAGGCAGAUUGACAUGUGUAAAACAAAUAGAGAAAAAUGUUAUUUGUAGAAUCUAGGUGAUGCUAAAGGCCACACAGCCAGUGGGGACUGAGCCAAGCUAGGAAUCCAGGUCCACCAAUUCAGGAGAGGCUAUGUGGUGAAGUAAAGAUAACACCCCGUUCCCAGUUUUUGUAUCUGUUUUUGUUUUGAGACAGAGUCCUGCUUUGUAGCCCAGGCUGGAGUGCAAUGGAGCCAUCUCAGCUUACUGCAACCUCUGUCUCCCAGGCUCAAGUGAUCCUCUUGCCUUAGCCUCCUGAGUAGCUGGGACUACAGGCAUGUGCCACCACGCCUGGCUAAUUUUUUGGUAGAGAUGGGGUUUCACUAUAUUGCCCAGCUGGUCUCAAACUCCUGACCUCAAGUGAUUAACCAGCCUCAGCCUCCCACAGUGCUGGGAUCACAGGUGUGAGCCACCGUGCCCGGCACCAGUUCCCAUUAAUUAUCUUGGAACCCAAGGAUUCAAAGAAGCAGUCUUUUCAAAGAGAUAUUUGAGUCACUGACCACCAGUCCUGGAAUGCAGAAAUGCUUAGUCCCACCUACCUCUUUUGUUCAUUCCUUCAAAAGUUUCCUCUUCAAAAGUAGGGCUAGCAGAUCUAAAUGGGCCAGAAAGAACUCUCUUAACUGUUGUUUUUUGUUUUGUUUUGUUUUUUGAGACUGGAGUCUCACUUUGUCGCCCAGGCUGGAGUGCAGUGGCGCGAUCUCAGCUCACUGCAAGCUCCGCCUCCCGGGUUCAUGCCAUUCUCCUGCCUCAGCCUCCCCAGUAGCUGGGACUACAGACGCCCGCCACCAUGCCCGGAUAAUUUUUUGUAUUUUUAGUAGAGAUGGGGUUUCACUGUGUGAGCCAGGAUGGUCUUGAUCUCCUGACCUCGUGAUCCACCCACCUCAGCCUCCCAAAGUGCUGGGAUUACAGGCGUGAGCCACCACACCAGGCCUUUUUUUUUUUUUUUUUUUGAGAUAGAGUCUUGCUCUGUUGCCCAGGCUGGAGUGCAGUGGCGCUAUGUUGGCUCACUGCAACCUCCACCUCCUGGGUUCAAGCCAUUCUUCUGCCUCAGCCUCCCAAGAAGCUGGGAUUACAGGUGCACGCCACCAGGCCUGGCUAAUUUUUUUUUUUUUUUUUUGAGACGGAGUCUCGCUCUGUCACCCAGGCUGGAGUGCAGUGGCGCAGUCUCGGCUCACUGCAAGCUCCGCCUCCCGGGUUCACGCCAUUCUCCUGCCUCAGCCUCCCAAGUAGCUGGGACUACAGGCACCUGCCACCACUCCUGGCUAAUUUUUUUGUAUUUUUAGUACAGACGGGGUUUCACCAUGUUAGCCAGGAUGGUCUCGAUCUUCUGACCUCGUGAUCUGCCCGCCUCGGCUUCCCAAAGUGCUGGGAUUACAGGUGUGAGCCAACGUGCCUGGCCGUUUUUUUUUUUUUUUUUGGUAUUUUUAGUAGAGAUGGGGUUUCACCAUAUUGGCCAGGCUGGUCUUGAACUCUUGACCUUAAGUGAUCCACCCUCCUCAGCCUCCCAAACUGCUAGGAUUACAGGCGUGAGCCACCGCGCCUGGCCUUCAUAACUGUUGACAUACAAGCAUUACAGUAAAAAUUAGACUGGAAAGACUAUGCCUUGAUUUCAACUUUAAUCACAAUUAAUUUAUUCUUUCUUUAAAAAAAAAAUGUAAUCCCAGAACUUUGGGAGGCCAAGUCGGGUGGAUCACCUGAGGUCAGGAAUUGGAGACCAGCCUGGCCAACAUGGUGAAACCUGUCUCUAGUAAAAAUGCAAUUAGCCAGGCAUGGUCGUGGGUGCCUGUAAUCCCAGCUACUCAAGAGGCUGGGGCAGGAGAAUCGCUUGAACCUAGGAGGCGGAGGUUGCAGUGAGCCAAGAUCAUGCCAUUGCACUCUAGCCUGGGCAACAAGAGCGAAACUCCAUCUCAAAAAAAAAAAGAGGCUGGGUGCAGUGGCUCACGCCUGUAAUCCCAGCACUUUGGGAGGCCGAGGCGGGAGGAUCACGAAGUCAGGAGAUCGAGACCAUCCUGGCUAACACGGUGAAACCCCCGUCUCUACUAAAAAUACAAAAUAUUAGUUGGGCGUGGUGGCGGGUGCUUGUAAUUCCAGCUACUCGGGAGACUGAAGCAGGAGAAUGGUGUGAACCCAGGAGGUGGAGCUUGCAGUGAGCGUAGCUUGGGCCACUGCACUCCAGCCCAGGCAAUAGAGACAGACUCUGUCUCAAAAAAAAAAAAAAAAAAAAGAAUCCUCCGGCAUUAUAUCUCCAGCUACUGUGGCCCAAGAAUAUAUCUUUAUCAAAAAAUACAAAAUCCAGGGAACAUGCAAAUAUCUGAAGAAGAAAAAAACACUGCAAUCACUAAUGCAUACAGUGAAGAGUUGGCCCAGUUCCAGAGUCCGCUAUGUUUGAUAGUUUGUGCACUUGCAGAAUGAGAGUGGGGGGGGAGUUCCCCACCUGAGGCCACUGUCCUCUCUAUGGCCACCUCUAGGUCUUCAAGACCAAGGAACACCUACACUCCAGGUGUCUCCUUGCCAGAUGUUUCACCUGCAUUGGUAAAAGGCAGAAUCCUCGGCAGGGGUCGGUGGCUCACGCUUGUAAUCCCAGCACUUUGAGACGCCGAGGCGGGUGGAUCACGAGGUCAGGAAUUCAAGACCAGCCUGGCCAAGAUGGUGGAACCCCGUCUCUACUAACAGCACAAAAAUUAGCUGGGCCUGGUGGCGCAUGCCUGUAAUCCCAGCUAAUGGGAAGGCUGAGGCAGAGAAUGGCUUGAACCCAGGAGGCAGAGGUUGCAGUGAGCCGAGAUCACGCCACUGCACUCCAGCCUGGGCGACAGAGCAUGACUCCAUCUCAAAAAAAAGAAAAGAAUCCUGGGAUGAGCUCCGCCCCCCCCACCAGCCGAGGGACAGGCCUGAGGUAUCCCCUCUAUUCUGGGGGGUCCAGAGUGGGUGCAGGCUCCUUUAAUAGGCACUGGAAUGUAGGGGACCCCAUCUCAGAGGAGUAGGAGAGAUACAGGCCAAAAAGCAGAGAGCUACAAGGGAGAGAACAAUCAUGAAGGAAAAGCCAGUUAGGUGAAUGGUUUUCAGUGAAGGAUGGGACGUGAACACGGGGCCCUGUGUGCUGGAGCUUCAGAAAAUGGGGUCAACCCCCAGGCACCUUUUCAGAUUCCUGCCUCCUCCCCACAGCCCUCUGUGCCCCUACCUCUGCUUUUUACCUAAGGCAGAACUUUGUUUUCCUCAAACGCCCACUUCCUUUCCUUAUCCCCCAAAUACACAAACCUUGCCUCUUCCUCUCCAGGGAAACGCUGACCAGUUUGUGUGAACGCCAUCACCCACACUCUUGAAAUAUAUCUGGAAAGUGCCGGAAGUGAACUGGGGGAUCCUUGCCUCCCAAAACAGGGAUGGGCUCUGAACGCCCCACCACGGCCUGCUGCCACGCGCGCCUCUCGCUGCAGGAGCGGUGGAUCCACCGAUGGGCUUCCAGGGCGGUCUUGCGCUUGAAGCCUUUCCCACACUCCACGCAGGGGAAGGGCCGGCUGUCGGAGUGAAUGCGCCGGUGACUGAGGAGGAGGGAAGAAUAGGUGAAGCGGCGGCCGCAGUCAGGACAGGGGUAGGGCUUCUCGCCGGUGUGUAUGCGCCUGUGGAUGGCCAGCAGGGAGGUGUAGGCGAAACGGAGGCUGCAAUCGGGGCAGCUGUAGGGCUUCUCGCCCGUGUGCUUGCGCUGGUGGAUGGCCAGCAGGUAGGGGUAAGUGAAGCGACUCUUGCAGUCUGAGCACGCGUAAGGCUUCUCCCCGGUGUGAGCCCGCCUGUGGAUAGCCAGGGAACCCCUCUGGCGGAAGCGGCGCCCGCAGUCGGGGCAGGGGUAGGGCUUCUCGCCGGUGUGGAUGAACUGAUGCUGGAGCAGGUACCUGCGCUGGGAGAAACGCGCCUGACACUGGCCGCAGGAGAAGGGCCGCUCCCCGGAGUGGACCCGCUGGUGGCUGGCCAGGAGGGAAGGGUAGCUGAAGUUGCGGCCACAGUCUGGGCAAGAGUGGGGCAGUCUUCGGGUCAGAGUGUCCUUGAGCCAGGGAUUCAUGGGGCUCUGCCUAGGGUUGCAGAACUCUGGGCAGGCGACGCUGGGCCACCACUCCUUGACAGCCACUUCAUGCGCCACCUCUUUUUGUUUUGGACACUUCUUCAGCCUUUCCUUCUCCUCAUUCCCAUCCCUGGAUCCUGAAACAGGGAAGAUGAUAAAAUCAGAAACUCAUCCCUGGAUCCUGAGACAGGAAAGAUGAUAAAGUCAAAACCAGCAUAUUCCGGGACCAUGUCCUGCCUUGGAAGGCAGCAGGAAUGGUUCAGAAUAUGGCGCCCAGGGAGCACGGCUUAAUGAUAGGGGCCUCAUGAAGCCCUGAAAGCCAGCCUGGAGUAAAAGCAAAUGCCAUGGUCUGCAGGUUAACACAAGAAGGCCCUGAGCACUGGAGAUAAUGAAAGAGGAGUCGGGCCGGGUGCCAUGGCUCACACCUGUUAUCCAAGCACUUCAGGAGGCUGAGGUGGGAGGAUCGCUUGAGGCCAGAAAUUCAAGGGACAGUGAGCUGUGAUCGGGCCACUGCACUCCAGCCUGGGCAACUCUCUAAUAAAAAAAAAAAAAAAUGCUGGGCGUGGUGGCCCAUGCCUGUAAUCCCAGCACCACUCUGGGAGGCUGGGGUGGGCAGAUCACCUGAGGUCAGGAGUUCGAGACCUGCCUGGCCAACAUGGGGAAACCUUGUCUGUACUAAAUUACAAAAAUUAGCCAGGCGAGGUGGUGGGCGCCUGUAAUCCCAGCUACUUGGGAGGCUGAGGCAGGAGAAUCCCUGGAACUGGGGAGGUGGAGGUUGCAGUGAGCCAACCUCGUGCCACUGCACUCCAGCAUGGGCGACACAGCAAGACUCAGUCUCAAAAAAAUAAAAAAAGAAAAAGGAGUGAACAAUAUUGAACGCUUAACUCUGUGUCAGGCUUUGAGGACACAGUGAUGGUCCCAGUCCUCAUGGCACUUACCAUCCUGAACCUGUUUAUGAUCCCUUUACAAAACAGCCAUUCAAUGACCUUCUUUGGUACCAGCUCAAAUUCUUUUGGCACCUUUCCUCUCUGCUCUUACCAUCACCAAAAAGUCUACACUUGCUGGUGGGGCACAGUGACUUACGCCUGUAAUCCCAGCACUUUGGGAGGCAGAGGCAGGUGGAUCACGAGAUCAGGAGUUCAAGACCAGCCUGGCCAAGAUGGUGAAAGCCCGUCUCUACUAAAAAUACAAAAAUUAGCUGGGCAUGAUGGCGGGUACCUGUAAUCCCAGCUACUCAGGAGGCUGAGGCAGGAGAAUUGCUUGAGCCUGGGAGGCGGAGGUUGCAGUGAGCCUAGACCAUGCCACUGUACUCCAGCCUGGGCAACAGAGCGAGACUGUCUCAAAAAAUAAGUCUACACUUGGACUGCCUCACUAGGUUCCACGGGAAGACCUUCUGGGAACAAGCAUUUAUUCUGGUAUCAGGGCUGCAGGAAAAACAUUUCUCUUCAUUUAAAAAUCUAAUUAAUGGUGUUAUUUACUACACGUGGUUCACAUCAUUAAUAUCCAAGAGGAACAUCUGUCUUCAUUUUAUCCCACAACAAAAAUCAAAUUACAGGUUUCCCCUUUCCCUUGACCUCCUAGGAAGCUCAAGCUCUAUUUUGCAUUAAACUGAGGUUUUCCAGUAUGGUUAAUCGGUUCCAUAGAUCCCAAUUUCGCUGUUCCAUCGGGCCAUUUUGCAGUGAGAUGAGGACGUUUCUGGGGUAGGGUGCAGGGAGACAGGAUGGGACUUUGGAGGGGGCAGCCUGCGCUGAGGAUGUGAGUGAGUUGGGGGCGGGGGUUGGGGCUUCUCCACGGCUACUUAUCCAAAUGAAGUACCUGCUUCCUGUCCUUGGCCCCUGCUGAAAGCUGCAGAGCUCUCACCGUCGGGAUCCUGGGCCUCCGGGCUCCACGCCUCCACUUCUCCUUCCACCCACGAGAUAAAAGCGGGUUUGGGAACUGAAAAUCCUGCGAAGGAGAAACAAUGGGCUCGGCUGAGCGCACGGGAGGGGAGAAUGAGACUGCUCCCUCGGCGCCCCGCUUCCAGCCCACUAGCCUCUGGGGACACCGAUCACCGCUUCCCACCGACGGACUGGGGGUCCCGGCCGGAGGGCCCGGCCUCACCCAGCGCGCCCAGGUGGCCGAAGGUCUCCCGCAUCACGUCCCGGUACAGGGCCCUCUGCGCUGGCCGCAGGCAUUCCCACUCCUCGGGAGAGAAGUACACGGCCACGUCCGCGAAGCUCACGGCGCCCGGCCUGCUUUCCCUCGUCCUCCGGGGCCCGGCCUCCCCGGGUACGUGGGCCGGGCGCGGCGCCAGGGGCGGCCCCAUGGGAAACCCUUUCUGCCUGGCAAAGGGAGGCUUCCGGGGAAGGUGGAGAUGCUGGCGCUUUCCUGUCUUUCCUCAGACAAGUCCGUAAGGGACUCCUGCCCUUAACCAAGAUGGAACCUUCCUGGCGUCAACACCCCUCGCCUUUCCUCUCUGCCUUUACACACCACGAGGGAAACCAGCGGGAAGGGUGGCCCCGCAACACCACUAACCGAUAGAUGGCGUACGUUGAUUGGACAGUGCCGGAAGGCCAGGAGAAGAAGGAAGGCUGUGAUUGGGCUUUUUUUUGGAGUGGCCUGUUUGAAAGGCUGAGGGUGAAGGAGCGACAGAUCUGAAAAUAGCCGGAGCUGAGGGGCCUCAGGGUCUACCCUGACUCGCUUUUCCCGGACGGUCUCCUAGGAGAGAGGCUGUGGCCAGCUGACGCGACUUCCUUCUGCUACUGAGGUGAGAAGUCUUAGGGCAGAUGCGGAUGUCCAGGGCUUCGAGGUGAGUAAAGGUGAAGCGCAAAGCCUUAGGCGGCGUGCACUGAGUGGGUAAGGGACUGCAGAUCCCAGCUUUGAGCUCUGAGUACUCCUGGCAGUGCCAGCCCGAGGGGCAGCGGGAACAGGAUCCUACCCAGGAUCUAAUUUGACCUUUGCCCCGAGGUCACAGAUGUCUUCCCUUAUAGAGAUGCAGAAGGCCAGGCGCAGAGCCCGGAUUCAAAGUCAGCUCCUAGCCGGGCGCGAUGGAGCGCGCCGGUGGUCCCAGCUCCUCGAGGGGCUGAGGCAGGAAGAUCGCCUGAACUCGGGAGGUGGAGGCUGCUGUGAGUCGAGAUCGCGCCCCCACACUCCAGGCUGGCGACAGAGCCAGGCGCCCAUCUCUAAAAACAAACAAAAGUCAUCUUCUCGCUUCCGGGUUCGGUUAAGGACUUAGGGUAGGGCCCUGCACAAAGUACUAUUAUAAUAGAUAUGAAUUUAUAGUGUUGUAGUUUUUUUUUUUUUUUUUUUUUUUUGAGAUGGAGUCUUGCUCUGUCGCCCAGGCUGGAGUGCAGUGGCGCGAUCUCGGCUCACUGCAAGCUCCGCCUCCCGGGUUCACGCCAUUCUCCUGCCUCAGCCUCCCGAGUAGCUGGGACUACAGGCGCCCGCCACCAUGCCCGCCUAAUUUUUUGUAUUUUUAGUAGAGACAGGGCUUCACCGUGUUAGCCAGGAUGGUCUCGAUCUCCUGACCUCGUGAUCCGCCCGCCUCGGCCUCCCAAAGUGCUGGGAUUACAGGCGUGAGCCACCGUGCCCGGAUGUGUUGUAGUAAUGUUUAAUACCAUCUGAGUCUUGUCUCAAUCAGAAAACGUGCUCAAAUUACAGCUGAUAUGUGAGUAAUAAAACUGGGAAACGAAUCAGAUAAUCUCUUAAGACCGUUUUUCAGCCCUUUCCAACCGAGUAUUCAUAGAAACAGAAGAGGAACGUUCUAGAUGUAUAACAAAAAGCUGCCCAUCCCCACAGUGAAACCACUUUGAAGACAUCACUUUAAAAUUCAUGUGAAUUCGGCCGGGUGUGGAGGCUCACACCUGUAAUCCCAGCACUUUGGGAGGCUGAGGUGUGUGGAUCACUUAAAGCCAGGAGUUCGAGACCAGACUAAACAACAUAGCAAGACCUCAUCUCUAAAAAAAUAAAUAAAUAAAAAACAAAAACUUGUGUGAAUUUGCAUUCUAUUUUAUAAUAUAACCAAAUGAUCUCGGCCUUCACACCAUCUUCUUGGAAACCUCUGCACCAUGAGAGCCUAGUGGAGGAAGCGAAUGCGCAGGCUGAAGCGCAAAAGAAGAAAGAUGAGGCAGAGGUCCAAGUAAACCACAAGCUUAUGCACCCAUGGAGGCUACAGGAGCAGAAACAUGGAAUCCAGAGGCUGGGGAUGCUGGUACAGUUAUUGGGCUGCAUGCUACUGUCUAGAGCUUGUUUCAGUGCAUCUAGAACUUCAUCUCCAUCUGGUCGCCAAGACCACCUCUGAGACUCACCUUGCUCAUAACCAAAACUGCAUGUUGGUCCUUUGCUCCGGACCUGUGAUAUUCUGGACUAUUUCUGUGUUCACUGGUGGCCGAGUGUAACAACCAUAUAAUAAAUCACCUCUUCUGCUGUCUUAGCUGAAUAUAUAUAACCAAAUUCAAAAGAAUAUAUAGUCAAAAGCAAGUUUAUCAAGUGUUAUCCUCUUUUACACUACUGGUGGAGUGUGAAUUGGUGCAGCCGCUUUUGAAAACUGGCAGUACCUACUAAAGCUGAAUAGAUGUCAUACCCUAUGACCCAGUGAUUCCACUUGUAGGUGUAUACCCAACAGAUAUGCAUACAUAUGUUUACUCAAAGGCAUUUACUCAAAUGUUCUCCACACUUCUUAUAAUAGGUAAAAACUAGACCAGAUGCGGUGGCUCAUGCCUGUAAUCCCGGCACUUCGGGAGGCCGAGGUCAGCGGAUCACCUGAGGUCAGGAAUUUGAAACUAGCCUGGCCAACAUGGCAAAACCCCAUCUAAAAACACAAAAAUUAUCUGGGCGAGGUGGCAGGCGCCUGUAGGCCCGGCUACUCGGGAGGCUGAGACAGGAGAAUCACUUGAACCCAGGAGGUGGAGGUUGCAGUGAGCCAAGAUCACACCACUGCACUCUAGCCUGGGUGACAGAGCAAGACUCCAUCUCAAAAAAAAAAAAAAAAAAAAAAAGAUUCCGUUUCUAUAGUUUUUCUUUUUAAAAGACUCUGCAUGUAGGCUAGGCUGGUGGCUGAGGCCUGUAAUAUCAGUACUUUGGGAGGCUGAGGCUGGAUGAUCACUUGAGCUUAAGAAUUUGAGACCAGCCUGGGCAAUAUAGUGAGACACCAUCUCUACAAAAGCAAUUUUUUUUAAUAAGCCAGGCAUGGUGGUGUGCACUUGUGGUCCCAGCUACUCAGGAGGCUGAGAUGGGAGAACUGCUUGAGCCCAGAGGUCAAGGGUGCAAUAAGCCAUUAUCAUCAUGCCACUGCACUCCAGCCUGGGCAACAGAGCAAGACCCUAUCUCUAAAAUUAAAAAACAUAUGUAUAAAAACAGACAAAAUGUGGCCGGGCACGGUGGCUUAUGCCUGUAAUCCCAGAACUUUGGGAGGCCAAGGGGAGUGGAUCAUGAGGUCAGGGAUUCAGGACCAGCCUGGCCAAGAUGGUGAAACCCCAUCUCUAGUAAAAAUACAAAAAAUUAGCGGGGUAUGAUGGCGGGCGCCUGUAAUCCCAGCUACUCAGGCAGCUGAGGCAGAGAAUUGCUUGAACCCAGGAGGUAGAGGUUGCAGUGAGCCAAGAUCGCGCCACUGCACUCCAGCCUGAGCUAGACUCCAUCUCAAAAACAAAACAAAACAAAACAACAACAACAAAAAAACAGCAAACUUAAUCCAUGCUAUCAAAAAUCAGAGCCAGGUACGAUAAUAGAUGCUUCUAGGAUGCUGAUAAUAUUCUCUUUUUUUCUUUUUUUUUUUUAGAUGGAAUCUCCCUGUGUCACCCAGACUGGAGUGCAGCAGUGCAAUCUCAGGUCACUGCAACCUCCACCUCCUGGGUUCAGGAGAUUCUCGUGCCUCAGCCUCUGGAGUACCUGGGAUUACAGGCAGGUGCCACCAUGCCUGGCUAAGUUUUUUGUAUUUUUGGUAGAGACGGGGUCUCACAUGUUGCCCAGGCUGGUCUCGAACUCCUGGCCUCCUCUGAUCCACUGGCCUUGGCCUCCCAAAAUUCUGGGAUUACAGGCAUGAGAAUUGCUUGAGCCUGGGAGGCAGAGGUUGCAGUGAGCCGAGAUUGUGCCACUGCACUCCAGCCUGGGUAACAGAGUGAGACUCUGUCUCAAAAAAAAAAAAAGUUCACACUCCAGUGAUUUGCAUAUCAUAGUAAAAAGUAAUCUCUUGGGUCUCAUUUUUCAUUGUGUUUAGCGCAGUACCAUAAACCUUAAAUAACACCAUAGGACCCAUACAAAGUGCCACUAGUGAUGCUGGAAGUGCUCCCAAGAAGCAAAGAAAAGUCAUGACAUUUCAAGAAAAAGUUGAAUUGCUUGGUAUGUACCAUAGAUUGAGGUCUGCAGCUGCAGUUGCCCACCAUUUCCAGAUAAAUUGAUCCAGUAUAAGAACCACUGUAGUGGCCUGUAGUCCCAGCUACUCGGGAGGCUGAGGCAGGAGAAUGGCGUGAACCCGGGAGGCGGAGCUUGCAGUGAGCCGAGAUGGCGCCACUGCACUCCAGCCUGGGCCACAGAGCGAGACUCUGUCUCAAAAAAAAAAAAAAAAAAAAAAAAAACCACUGUAGCUGGGCGCGGUGGCUCACGCCUGUAAUCCCAGCACUUUGGGAGGCCGAGGCUGGUGGAUCACCUGAGGUUUUCCAGUAUGGUUCAUCGGUUCCAUAGAUCCCCUGUAAUUCCAGUUACUGGAGAGGGUGAGGCAGGGGAAUCGCUUGAACUCAGGAGGCAGAGGCUGCGGUGAGCCGAGAUGGCGCCAUGGGACUGGGCAACAAAAGUGAAACUCCAUCUAAGAAAAAAAAAAAAAGGCACAAAGGACAUUUAGUAGUAAGGAAGAGAAGCAAGCACCAGGAUUUACAACAGGAAGGGAUAAGCUAACUCCACUGUUUUGUGCAGAUGCAGUCAGGUUUAUUAUCAGUACGUCCCUUAUCUAUAAAGGUGCUUAUCCUUGAGCCUUGAAGGGAAAAGAGAAAUACUAGCUUGCAGUCUUCUGGGUGUACAACAAAAAAGGCCUGAACAACAAUAAUCUUUUUCUGGAUGGGGUACAUCUGUGCUUUGUCCCUGAAGUCAGGAAGUACCUGGCCGGUAAAGGCCUGCCUUUCUCCAUUGGCCUUUACCAUCUUAUUUUAUUUUUAUUUAUUUUGUUUGUUUACUUAUUUAUUUAUUUUUGAGAUGGAGUCUCACUCUGUCACUAGGCUGGAGUGCAGUGGUGCAAUCUCAGCUCACUGCAACCUCCACCUCCCGGGUUCAAGCGAUUCUCCUGCCUCAGCCUCCCGAGUACCUGGGAUUAGAGACAUGCACCACCAGGCCCAGCUAAUUUUGUGCUUUUAGUAGAGACAGGGUUUCAGCAUGUUGGCCACGAUAGUCUCGAUCUCUUGACCUCGUGAUACACCCGCCUCAGCCUCCCAAAGUGCUGAGAUUACAGGCGUGAGCCACCGCACCAGGCCUUUACUUAUUUAUUUAUUUAUUUAUUUAUUUAUUUAUUUAUUUAUUUGAGAUGGAGUCUCACUCUGUUGCCCAGGCUGGAGUGCAGUGGCACAAUCUCAGCUCACUGCAACCUCUGCCUCUGGGGGUUCAAGCAAUUCUCCUGCCUCAGUCUCCCGAGUAGCUGGGACUCAAGCACACACCACCAUGCCCAGCUAAUUUUUGUGUUUUUAUUCGAGACGAGGUUUCACCAUAUUGGCCAGGCUGGUCUCGAACUCCUGAGCUCGUGAUACGCCCGCUUCGGCCUCCCAAAAUGCUGGGAUUACAGGUGUGAACCGCUGCACCCAGCCCACCAUCUCAUUUUAUUAAAGGGAAAUUAAAGCACAAGGAAAUACAGACCAUGACUGACAGGUUAGAGCCACUAGAUUUCUGUCUGCAGCCACAGAUCUUCCUUCCCAGGCAUCCACUGCCUGCAGCUAGAGAGUCUAGUCUGUGUUCCUCACAACACCAUUAUCAGAUGGGGUCCCUCAGAUGGUGAGAUGCACAAGCCACUGGCAUGUCACUUAGACUCUGCCCAAUUUGGACAAAUUUUAUCAAACUCUGGUUGUGUUUCAUUUGCUGGUUCAUUAUAAGGAUAUUACAAAGGAUAUAGAUGAAGAGAUGUAGUGGGUGAGAUAUGGGGGAAAGGGAGCAGAGAUUCCAUGCCCUCCCUAGGUAUGCAUGCUACCCCUCUAGGAACCUCCACAUGUUCACCUAUCUGGAAGCUUUUAUUUUUUUUUUUUGAGACGGAGUUUCGCUCUUGUUGCGAGGCUGGAGUGCAAUGGCAUAAUCUCGGCUCACUGUAACCUCCACCUCCUGGGUUCAAGCAAUUCUUCGGCCUCAGCCUCCCGUGUAGCUAGGAUUACAGGCGCACGCCACCAUGCCUAGCUAAUUUUUGUACUUUUAGUAUAGACAGGAUUUCACCAUGUUGGCCAGGCUGGUCUUGAACUCCUGACCUCAGGUGUGCCACCCUCCUUGGCCUCCCAAACUGCUAGGAUUACAGGCGUGAGCCACCGUGCCCGGCCGGGACUGCCUUUUAAAGUUAUUUUGAUAUUGGACAAUGCCCCUGGCCACCCAGAACCCCAUGAAUUCAACACCUUUGGUGGUGAAGUGGCCUACUUACCCCCAAACACAACACUUCCAAUUCAGCCUAUAGAUCAAGUUGUCAUAAAGAUCUUUAAGGCUCAUUACACAUGGUACUCUAUGGAAAGGAUGGUCAACCCUAUGGAAGAGAACCCCAUCAUGAAAGUCUGGAAGGAUUACACCACUGAAGACACCAUCGUUGUUAUAGAAAAAGCUGUGAAAGCCAUCAAACCUGAAACAGAUUCCUACAGGAGAAAACUGUAUCCAAUAGUGCGACUACUAGAGAAAACUAUGCCCAGAUACUAGGUGUUACUUCAUAGGAAAUUAUGACAAGAGCCAAUCAAGGAAAUCACGAAAGAGACUGUGAAUAUGGCAAAAAAAAAAAAAAAAAAAAAAAAAAAAAAAAUUUAGGGGGUGAAGGAUUUCAAGACAUGGAUUUUGGAGAAACUGAAGAGCUAAUAGACACCAUACCAGAGGAAUUAGAAUACAACUUGGUAGAGAUGAGUGCUUCUGAACCAGUGCCAGAUGAUAAGGAAGAUGGAAAGGGGCAGUGCCAGAAAACAAAUUGACAUUAGACAAUCUGGCAGGAGGGUUUCCGUCAUUUAAGACUGCUUUUGACUUCUUUUAUGACUUAGACCCUUCUAAGAUAUGGGCACUGAAACUAAAGCAAACAGUAGAAGAAGGAUUGGUACUGUAUAGAAAUAUGUCUAGAGAAAUGAAAAAGCAAAAAAAGUCAUUUUUUGAUGUACUUAUGAUGUAUUAUGAAAUUAUGAUGUAUUUCCAGAAAUUAUGAUGUAUUUCCAUAAAGUUGCACCAGUGUGCCUGCCUCUUCUGCUCCCCCUUCGCCCUUCUCCACCUCUUCUGCCUCUGCCACCCUUGAAACAGCAAGACCAACCCUUCCUCCUCUUCUUCCUCAGACUGCUCAACAUGAAGAUGAUGAUGAUGAAGAGUUUUAUGAUGAUCCACUUCCACUUAAUGAAUAGUAAAUAUAUUUUCUCUUCCUUAUGAUUUUCUUAAUAACAUUUUCUUUUCUCUAGCUUACUUUAUGAUAAGAAUACACUACAUAAGCCAGGCGUGGUGGCAUGCGCCUGUAGUCCCGGCUACUCAGGAGGCUGAGGCAGGAAGAUCACUUGAGCUGAGGAGUUUCGGGCUGCAGUUGAGCUAUGAUCACGUCACUGCACUCCAACCUUCGUGACAGAGCAAGACCCAUCUCUAAAUUAAAAAAAGAAAAAAGGUGGGGGGAGAGAGUACAGUAUAUGAUAUAUAUGACAUACAAAAUAUGUUUUUGUUUUUUUCUUUUUGAGACAGGGUCUGGCUCUGUCACCCAGGCUGGAGUGCAGUGGCUACCAUCCUGGCAACCUCUGCCUCCUGAGCUCAAGCCAUCCUCCUACAUUAGCCUCCCAAGUAGCUGGGAAUACAGGUACAUGCCACCAUGCUUGGCUAAUUUUUUAAUUUUUUGUAGAAGCGGGGUUUCACCUUGUUGUCCAGGCUGGUCUCGAACUCCUGAGCUCAAGCAGUCCUCUCGCCUCAGCCUCCCAAAGUGCUGGGAUUACAGGCGUAAGCCCAAAAAAGUAUAUAUGUAUUUAAAUAUUUACUAUCUGAUUUUUUUUUUUUAGGACAAGGUCUGGCUCUGUCACCCAGGCUGGAGUGCAGUGGUGAGAUCUCGGCUCACUGCAACCUCCACCUCCCAAGCUCAAGCAAUCCUCCUGGCUCAGCCUCAGCUGGGAUUACAGGCAUGCGCCAUGGCACCCAACCCCAAAACAUGUUUUAAUUGACUAUUUAUGUUAUUGGUAAGGCUUCCAGUCAACAGUAGUUAAGUUUUGGGGAGUCAAAAGUUAGUGGAGGCCGGGUAUGGUGGCUAAUGCCUGUAAUCCUAGCACUUUGGGAGGCCGAGGUGGAUGGAUCACCUGAGGUCAGGAGUUCGAGACCAGCCUGGCCGGUAUGGUAAAACCCUGUCUCUACUAAAAAUACAAAAAUUAGCCAGGCUUGGUGGCACAUGCCUGUAAUCCCAGCUACUCGGCAGGCUGAGGCACAGGAAUUGCCUGAACGCAGGUGUAAGAGAUUGCAGUCAGCCGAGAUUGUGCCACUUCACUCCAGCCAGGGCCAAACAGCAAAACUCCAUCUCAAAAAAAAAAAAAAAAAAAGGCAGAAUAGAUGUUACUAGAGGCUAGAAAGGGAAGGGUAGGGGCAAGGGUGGGAUAGGGAAAAAUUUGUUAAUGGACAUAAAAUUAUUAGCUAUAUUGGAGGAAUAAGUUCUAGUGUUUUAUAGCACCGUAGGAUGACUAUAGUUAACAAUAAUAUACUAUAUAUUUUCAAAUAGCUAGAAGAGAAGAUAUUGAAUGUUCCUAACACAAAGAAAUAAUAAAUGUUUUAAAUGAUGGGUAUGUUAAUUGCCCCGAUUUGAUCACUACACAUCAUAUGUAUAGAAACAUCACCACAUACCCCAUAUUUAUGUAUAGUUAUUAUGUAUGAAUUAAGAAGAAUAAUGGACCCCAAAGAUUUCACAUCCUAAUCUGCAAAACCUUUGAUUGUGUUACCUUAUAUUAGCAAAUAGGACUUCGCAGAUGUGAUUAAACUAAGGAUUUUGAGUUAGGAACACUAACCUGUUGAGUCUAAUGUAAUCACAAUGGUCCUUAUAAAAGGGAGGCAAGAGGGUAAAAGUCUGAGAAGGAUAUGUGACAACAAAAGCAGAGGUGGAGUGAUGCAGUUGCUGGAGAGGGGCCACUAGCCAAGGAAUGCAGGCAGCCUCUAGAAGCUGGAAAAGGCAAGAAACAGAUUCUCCCUAGAGCCUCUAGAAAAGGAAUGCAGCCCUGCCAACACCUUGAUUGUCCCAUAAGACCUAUUUUCAGACUUUAGACCUGAAGAACUAUAAGACGAUAAAUUUGUGUUGUUUUCAGCCACCAGUUUCUAGUAAUUUCUUACAGUAACAAAUGAACACAGAUAACAUUGUUGAGGAGCAUUUCUGAGUUUGUCAACUACUCUAUUGAUGUGGGAGCACUCUCCCAGCUCUGAACUCAAGAAAGUCUAAAAAGAAGUAGGACUCAGAGACAUUAUGCUGAAUAAAAGAAGCUUUAGACAAAAAAAAAAAAAAAAAAAAAUACACACUGUAUGAUUCCAAUUAUAUGAAGUUUUAUAACAGGGAACACUAAUUAGAAUAGUAGUUGUCUCUGGUGGGGUGGGAAUGGGAAUUGACUAGGAAGGGGCAUAAGGCAACUUUCUUUCUUUUCUUUUCUUUUUUUUUUUUUGAGACAGAAUCUCACUCUGUCGCCAGGCUGGAGUACAGCGGCAGAAUCUCAGCUCACUGCAAUCUUUGACUCCCUGGUUCAAGCGCUUCUCCUGCCUGAGCCUCCCUAGUAGCUGGGAUUAUGGGCACAUGCCACCAUGCCCAGCUAAUUUUUGUAUUUUUAGUAGAGACGGGGUUUCACCAUAUUGGCCAGGAUGGUCUCGAACUCCUGACCUCGUGAUCUGCCUGCCUCAGCCUCCCAAACUACUGGGAUUACAGGCAUGAGCCACUGUACCCAGCCACAUGAGGCAACUUUCUAGGAUGAUGGUAAUGUUAUGUAUUUGGAUAGGGGUUUCAGUUACAGAUGUAUACGUCUUUGUCAACACUCAGCAAAUAUACACUUAAAGUUUGUGCAUUUUAUGUACUUUUAACUCAAAAAAUAUAUAAAACAAACGUGGAGCUCUAGUUAAUGAUAUGCAUGUUGAAAUGUUUACGGGUGAAGUGUACUGAUUUCAGCAAUUUUUUUUACAUGCACCCAAAAACAAAGUGUACUGGUAGAGUAACUGAUAGUUACAUGAUAAAGCAGAUACACUAAAUGUUAGUGAUAGAAUCUAGGUGGUGAGUAUAUGGGUAUUCUCUGUAAAAGUCCUUCAACUUUACUGUGUCUUUCAAAACUUUUAAAAUGAAUGGUGGCUGGGUGCAGUGGCUCACACCUGUACUCCUAGCACUUUGGGAGUCUGAGGCAGGUGGAUCGCCUAAGGUCAGGAGUUUGAGACCAGCCUGGCCAACAUUGUGAAACUCCAUCUCUACUAAAAAUACAAAAAUUAGCUGGGCAUGGUAGCUCAUGCCUGUAAUCCCAGCUACUCUGGGAGGCUGAGGCCCGAGAAUCGCUUGAACCUGGGAAGUGAAGGUUGUAGUGAGCCAAGAUCGCACCAUUGCACUCCAGCCUGGGCAAUGGAGUGAGACUUCAUCUCAAAAGAAAAAAAAAAGCAAAACCACUAUUGAGAAUGAAAAGACACUCCACAGAAUGGGAGAAAAUAUUUGUAAAUCAUGUGUCUAAUAAGGGAUUAAUAUUCAGAAUUUAUAAAUAACUCCGGUAACUCAACAACCACUAAAAAAUAAAAACCCAAUUUAAAAGCAGGCAAAGAGGCUGGGCACGGUGGCUCACACUGUCAUCCCAGCACUUUGGGAGGCCAAGACAGGCAGAUCACUUGAGGCCAGAAAUUCGAGACCAGCCUAGCCAACAGAGAUGAUGAAACUCCAUUUCUGCUAAAAAUACAAAAAUUAGCCGGCAUUGUGGCACAGACCUGUAAUCCCAGCUACUCAGGAGGCUAAGGCAUGAAAAUCACUUGAGCCUGGGAGGUGGAGGGUGCAGUGAGCCAAAAUGGCACCACAGCAUUCCAACCUGGGCAACAGAGCAAGACACCACUCAAAAAAAGAAUUAAAAAAAAAAAAGAUGAAAGCAGGCAUAGGAUUUAUAUAGACAUUUCUCCAAAGAAGAUAUACAGAUGAGCUGGGCGUGGUGACUCACGCCUGUAAUCCCAGCACUUUGGGAGGCUGAGGCAGGUGAAUCACCUGAGAUCAGGAGUUCAAGACCAGCCUGGCCAACAUGGUGAAACCCCAUCUCUACUAAAAAUACAAAAAAAAAAAAAAAUUAGCCGGGCGUGGUGGCGCACGCCUGUAAUCCUAGCUACUUGGGAGGCUGAGGCAGGAGAAUUGCUUGAACCUAGGAGACAGAGGUUGCAGUGAGCCGAGAUCUUGCCGUUGCACUCCAGCCUGGGCAACAGAGUAAGACUCUAUCUCAAAAAUAAUAAAUGAAUAAACACACAAACAAACAAAUAAUAAAUAAUUAUCACUUUUUUGCAUUUUCCCAAUUUCUUUACUGAUUAUUUUUGGGAUUUGGAAAAAACAUAAGGCCGGGCGAGGUGGCCCACACCUGUAAUCCCAGCACUCUAGGAAGCCAAGGCAGGAGGAUUGCUUGAGCCCAGGAGUUCGAGACCAGCCUGGGCAACAUGGAGAAACCUCAUCCCUACAAAGAAUACAAAAAAAUUAGUUGGGUGUGGUGGCACAUGCCUGUGGUCCCAACUACUCAGGAGGCUGAAGCAGGAGGAUCACUUGAGCUCAGGGAAGUAGAAGCUGCAGUGAGCCAUGAUCACACAACUGCACUCCAGCCUGGGCCACAGAGCAAGACUCUUUCUUGCUGGGAAGGAAUUCUCACAUGUACGCACUAGCAGAAGCCACAAGCGGCACCAGGAAGACUAGAAGAAUGCGGGGCAUGAAAGCUAAGUUACAAGAGAGCUUAAGUAGGAAAACUAAGGUAUGUAAGAUAAAAAUUGAAGCACUGAUUUGUUAACUAGGUCAUCAGUUAUCUUAAAGGACAGUCUUAGAAUAAUUGCAUGGCAGCUGACUUUACAGUCACCCAGAUAUGUGAUCCUGGACAAGUUAUUUAUUUUUUUUUAAAUUUUUUGAGAUGGAGUUUUGCUCUUGUUGCCCAGGCUGGAGUGCAAUGGCGCAAUCUCGGCUCAUUGCAACCUUUGCCUCCCGGGUUCAAGUGAUUCUCCUGCCUCAGCCUCCCAAGUAGUUGAGAUUACAGGCAUGUGCCACCAUGCCUGGCUAUGUUUUUGCAUUUAGUAGAGACGGGAUUUCACCAUGUUGGUCAGACCGGUCUCGAACUCCUGACCUCAGGUGAUCCACCCGCCUCGGCCUCCCAAAGUGCUGGGAUUAUAGGCGUGCACCCUGUGCCCGGUCGACAAGCUAUUUAAUGUCACUGUGCCUCUGUUUCCUCAUCUGGUCAAGGAAAACAAUACCUACAGUCAGAUCUGGAAUUUGAGGCUGCCCUACUUAUAGGUUAAUAAAUGGGUCUGUUAUUGUUUCAUGGAUGCUGUCAGAAAACAGAGACAAAAGACCUUACUGUUCAGGGCACAACAAGCAGCAUGAGCAUGCCUGCAUUGGUUCCCUUCUGCCCCCUGCAGGGGCAAUGUGGGAUGUGCCCAGAUGGAUGCUAGACACACAGUGAGUUGCAUCAUAGGGGAGGAACAGGAAGCUCCUGCUGUUUUUUUCCUUUUUAAAGAUGGGAUUUGGCUGGGAGCGGUGGCUCACGCCUGUAAUCCCAGCACUUUGGGAGGCCAAGGCAGGCAGAUCACCUGAGGUCAGGAGUUCGAGACCAGCCUGACCAACAUGGUGAAACCCUGUCUCUACAAAAAUACUAAAAUUAGCUGGGCAUGGUGGCAGGUGAGUGUAAUCCCAGCUACUUGGGAGGCUGAGGCAGGAAAGUUGCUUGAACCCAGGAGGUGGAGGUUGCAGUGAGCCAAGAUCACGCCACUGCACUCCAGCCUGGGUGACAAGAGUGAGACUCCUUCUCUAAAUAAAUACAUAAAUAAAUAAGAUGGGGUCUUGCUAUGUUGGCCAGGGUAGUCUCAAACUCCUGGCCUCAAGCAAUCCUCCUGCCUUGGCCACCAAAAGUUCUGGGAUUACAGUUGUGAGCCACCAUGCCCAGCCAUCUGCUGUUUUAUAGUAAGCAGUAAGGAAGCUGCUCUUUGUCCUGGAUGCAGACAUUACCUCUCCCUCAAGGUUUGCUUGCUGCCAACACUCCUGAGAAUUGUUCUGGGUAAUGAGUGGCAAGGGCUUUGCUUAUUUAUUUUUAUUUAUUGGUUAUACUUACAUUUAUGGUUUAUUAAAGCAAAACGACACAGAUUUAAAAUCAUCAAAGGGAUAAGGUACAUGGGACAAAAUCCGGAUGCAACCGGGCACAAACUUUCAGGUGUCUACUCCCAGUGGGGUAUCACAGGGACGUGCUUUUUUCUCCCUGCAAUGAUUUUUGACAACAGGUGCUGAUUGUUCCCAAACAGAGAAGUUCACCCAAGCUUUAGGGUGCAGGGUUUUUUUGUUUGUUUGUUUUGGUUUUUUGUUUGUUUGUUUGUUUGUUUAGAUAGUCUUACUUUUGUUGCCCAGGCUGGAGAGCAAUGGUGCGAUCUCAGCUUACUGCAACCUCCACCUCCCAGGUUCAAGCAAUUCUCCUGCCUCAGCCUCCCAAGUAGCUGGGAUUACAGGUGUGUGCCACCACCUGGCUAAUUUUGUAUUUUUAGUAGAGACGGGGUUUCACCACGUUGGCCAGGCUGGUCUCAAACUCCUGACCACAGGUGAUCCACCCACCUCGCGCUCCCAAAGUGCUGGGAUUACAGACGUGAGCCACCGCGCCCGGCCAUGUGUGGGGUUUUUAUUGGGGAUUAGUCACAUAGGCUUGGAGUGUCCAUACUACUGAUCUCUGCUACUCAGACCCCAGAGCAAAAAACAAUGUUCACUAUAAAUCACACUUAGGAUAAACUUAUUUGUUCAGACUGGUACAGCAUGAUGGCAUGCUGUAUGCCAAGACCUCUGGCAUACAAAAACACUAAUCAAAUAAAAUAUUCCACGGGCUCAGAAGUUAUUUCCCAGGAGCAGACCAAAUGCCAGUUCUAAAGAUGAGCUUUCUUUGGAAUGUGCAGGGUUUGAACAACCUACACCUCCUGAGUUAACCCAUUCCUACACACACCUGAUCCCAUGAGUCCAUUGUACCUGGUAAACUAAAUUUUGUAUCUCUUAGAAUUAAAAUUAGUUUAGGUCCAAUGUCAACAAAUCUCUGGAAACUCUAGUUACUUCCCCUUCUCUGAUGCUCACAGUAGCAGUAGUCUACAUUCACUGAACCCACUUGUUUAUUCUUUGGCCCACUGCAGUAUUAAUAGACACUUGACUGAGCUUUCAUGAUGUGCCAUGUACUGAGUUAAGCACUUUAUAUACAUUCCAAUCUAAUGUGCUUGCUAAAUGGCUGCAGGUACACUUGGAAAAGGCUAGAAGCUCUACAGCAUGUUUUUGUCAGUGUAGAACUGACAUCAAGUCCUUCAUCAAGGGAACCCAGCCUCCCCAGAUCUAGAGAAGGGGAGACUCUAGAUCUGUGAAUAGGCUCAAGUCUGAGAAUCUGUUGAAGGCAGGGACUUGCAAUUUUUGCCAACUCAACAAGAUGUGAAGGCAGGACUUGCCGAGAUGGAUCGGAAGUCAACAUGAGUGGGCACGCUGGUCAAUUUGGAGUCACAGCAGGGAGACUCAUGGAGGAGUGUCUGUUAACACCUACUUUAUAGAGUUCUUGUGAACAUUGGAUUGGAAUGUAUAUAAAGUGCCUAACACAGUACAUGGAACAUCAUAAAAGCUCAGUCAAGUGGCUAUUAAUAUUGCAGUAGGCCAAAGAAUAAACAGAAGUGGAUUCAGGCCAGGUGCAGUGGCUCACACCUGUAAUCCCAGCAGUUUGGGAAGCUGAGGCAGGCAGAUCACUUGAGGUCAGGAGUUUGAGAACAGCCUGGCCAACAUGGUGAAACCCCGUCUCUACUAAAAAUACAAAAAUUAGCUGGGUGUGAUAGCAUACACCUGCAGUCUCAGCUACUCAGGAGGCUGAGGCACAGAAUCACUUGAACCUGGGAGGAGGUGGAGGCUGCAGUGAGCAGAGAUCGUGCCACUGCACUCCAGCCUGGGUGACAGAGUGAGGCUCCAGCUCAAAAAAAGAAAGAAAAGAAAAAAGUGGAUUCAGUGAAUGUAGGCUACUGCUUCAAGGCAUUUAGCUGAAAAUAAUAGGGAUCAAGAGAAAAGUUCUUUUUUAUUGUUUUAAAGGCAGAUCUUAGCAUGCUUAUAGGCUGGAGUGUCUUUGGGACAAGAAAGGGAAUCUGAAACCAUAAAACUAGGAGACGAGAAAGUAGGAAUAAUAGAGCAAAGUCCCUGAGGGGCAGAAGGGGAUGAAACCCAGGCCCAGCUGUGUUGCUGAACAUUGUAUAUCCAGGACUUGCUGAGAUGGAUCAGAAGUAAAUAUGAGUGGGCACACUGGUCAAUUUGGAGUAAUGGCAGGGAGCAGAAUGUUAAAGAAGCUCCUAUUUGACCCCUUGUAUUUUCCUAGUGAAAGCGGAGGUAUUUACUGGUUAAAAAUAUAUGGAAUGGGCAGGGAGCAGUGGCUCACACCUGAAUUCCCAGCACUUUGGGAGGCUGAGGCAGGUGGAUCAUGAAGUCAGGAGAUCGAGACCAUCCUGGCUAACAUGGUGAAAUCCUGUCUCAACUAAAAAUACCAAAGAUCAGCCGGGUGUGGUGGCAGGCACCUGUAGUCCCAGCUACCAGGGAGGCUGAGGCAGGAGAAUCACUUGAACCCAGGAGGAGGAGGUUGCAGUGAGCUGAGAUCACGCCACUGCAUUCCAGCCUGGGCGACAAAGCAAGACUCCAUCUCAA
rnacentral:lncRNA from 1 species